rnacentral:rRNA from 1 species
GAUGAACGCUGGCGGCGUGCCUAAUACAUGCAAGUCGAGCGAAGCGGGGAAGGGUGAGUCACACGUGGAUAACCUCCUAUAAGACUGGGAUAACUUCGGGAAACCGGAGCUCAAUCCGAUACUUAUAGAUGGUUCCGCGCUGCAUUAGCUAGUGGGUAAGGUAACGGCUUACCAAGGCAACGAUGCAUAGCCGACCUGAGAGGGUGAGCGGCCAAACUGGAACUGAGACACGGUCCAGACUCCGACGGGAGGCAGCAGGAGGGAAUCUGCCGCAAUGGGCGAAAGCCUGACGGAGCAACGCCGCGUGUGUGAUGAAGGUCUUCGGAUUGUAAAACUCUUUUAUUAGGGAAGCGGUACCUAAACAGUAAGCCACGGCUAACUACGUGCCAGCAGCCGCGGUAAUAC